GACGAACGCUGGCGGCGUGCCUAAUACAUGCAAGUAGAACGCACAGUUUAUACCGUAGCUUGCUACACCAUAGACUGUGAGUUGCGAACGGGUGAGUAACGCGUAGGUAACCUGCCUGGUAGCGGGGGAUAACUAUUGGAAACGAUAGCUAAUACCGCAUAAUAUUGAUUAUUGCAUGAUAAUUGAUUGAAAGAUGCUAUUGCAUCACUACCAGAUGGACCUGCGUUGUAUUAGCUAGUAGGUGAGGUAACGGCUCACCUAGGCGACGAUACAUAGCCGACCUGAGGGGGUGAUCGGCCACACUGGGACUGAGACACGGCCCAGACUCCUACGGGAGGCAGCAGUAGGGAAUCUUCGGCAAUGGACGAAAGUCUGACCGAGCAACGCCGCGUGAGUGAAGAAGGUUUUCGGAUCGUAAAGCUCUGUUGUAAGAGAAGAACGGGUGUGAGAGUGGAAAGUUCACACUGUGACGGUAUCUUACCAGAAAGGGACGGCUAACUACGUG
rnacentral:rRNA from 1 species